CGGCUGGCUCAGCGGUGCAGCCGCACGCCGUCCCCUCCAGAAACCGCGGCGGUGCCAGCAGGGACCGCGCGCGGGAGAGGCCCAGCGGCCGCGGGGUUCCGCGCUGCCCGGGCUGACUGAGGGCAGCAGAGGGCAGAGGGGCCGCUCAGGGAGCGGCUGAGGGGAGCCGUGCCUGUGCGGUCCCCCGGCGGAUGCCGCGGCGCUCAGGGAGCCCCGGCACUCGGCCCGUACGCGCCUCGCGCAGCAGCCGCUGCCGUCCUUUGUCCCCGAGCCGAGCGGUCUCUGAGCACUUGGGCCUCCGCCACAGCCGCUGCCGAGGGGAAGCGCCGUGACUGAGCACUGCAAGAGCUCGGACAAGCUCUGAGAGAUUUAAGGAAUAUGGACCAUCAUUUCAAAAUGGCAAUGUGCAUCUGUAAGCCUAGGCAGUUCCCCAGUUAGAGAACUGUUGUUCACUUUUGAGAUUAAGAUCAGCAUGGUUUUAGCCUAUGAGAAGCUCUCUGAAAAGGAUGGAAUGCAUCAGCUGACAAGAAUUCCCACUUCAGUUUCACAGAGAAGGAUGGGAAAACUGAGGCAGAAGUAUGAAUGGCCUGUCCAAUACUGCAAAUAAAAGCUCAUCUAAAAGUUUCCACUUCAGUA